GCCAUAUAUCUAUCUGAGUCAGCCAUACGUAUAUGAGACAGCAGUGUCGAGAGCUGUGUGUGUCAGAGUUUCCAAAAAGCAGAGAGCGUGAGGUGUUUGCUGAGCGCUUUAGGAAAGUCUGGUCUCGAGCAUCCCCAUGGGAGCCCUUAUGUUCUGAAGGGCUUCUGCAGACUGAGUGCUCUGAUGAGCGGUGUCAGACUGGGAGGCUCCUGCAGAGAGAUGGAUGCAGCAUGCCCGGGGCACCAGGCUCCAUCCCAUUCUUCUGCCCAUCUGUCUGCUGAGCCCAAACCACGCUUUGUGCUUCUGGUUCUCGUCACCAGACAGUGGUGAUGCUUGAGGUGUUGGGAGCGGAUUUGGGUUGGUUUGGGUUUCUUUGGUGGAGUAGAGGGGGUUGUGAACCAGGGAUACUGUGGGUCACUCUGCUGCCAACAGUUUAUUUGCAGUCCCUGGGGGUCGUUAUCUGUGAGAACGCAGCCCCAUCUCCUCCCAUGCUGUUCCUCUGUGGGAGCUCUGGGCAUCUUGCUGUUGUACUUAGAGGCCACCAGCCAUUUCCAUACUCAAAGACCAGCAGAGCAGCCACCUGGCAGGCACAGGUCAUGUCUUCAAGUUGCCUUUAGCCCCACUUUCUUCUGGGAGAAAGCAACGUCUGCAGUGAGAGCAACUGAGAAAGCUUAGGCAUGGCAGCUGUGGCAGAAAUGCUAAGUCAGGGCUUGAAGCAGUGAUUGAGCACCUGGUGGAAAGGCAGGGCCAACCCAGGGCAGCUCAGGUGCAUUCAAUGCACUGAGUGGCCAGAAGGGCUGGAGCCAGGAUCCACCCCUGCCCAGACCUCACUUAAGGGUUGGCAGUGGGAGUAAGGGUUCUUGCUGGAGAUCCCUAUGCACUGAGGUUUUUGAAGGUUUGCUGGAAAUCUGUGUUUGAAUCAUGAAAUGCACUUUUCAAUGGACACGACAUUCUGCUAACUGGAACAGUAACCAUUUAUAAAACCAAGCCACAAAAAACAAUGACUAAUUUCUCAGUGGAAUAUUCAUCUUUAAAAAGCCAGACCUGGGGCUUCAGUGCUCGUGAAGCCUUCCAGCUCCUCAGGUUGGAAAAAUUUAUUCUCUGGAAGAGUGGUAAUGCUUUGGAACUGCCCAGGGAGUGAUGGAGUCCUGGUCCCUGGAGGUGUUCCAGAGCCAUGGAGAUGUGGCACUGAGAUGCCCUGCCUAGGACUUUGAUGCCUACAGAUCUCCUCCAGGCCUGGCCCUUAUGCUCCUCAAAGAGUCUGCACCUAUUUUGAUGACGUGAAGCACUAUCUGCUCCAGACUCAUAAACAAAAACAGAAGCUUAACCAUUAACCCCCUCCAUCACAGCACCCCGACCUAUCACUCUCUGAGAGCUGACUUCUCACAGGGCAGGUUUCUGUCUGUGUUUUUAUCAAUCUCAAGCAGUUUUUUAAGCUGUUCACUAGAGUUUGCCCCCUGCUAUGUUUAUGAUGUAGCACUACAGAGGCUCUCACCCUGCCAUGCUGCGUGCUGUGGUGGUUUGGGACAGGCAGAGCUGAAGCCUGUUGGCCGCCUCCCUCUGCUCUCCUACCUCUGUAUAGCUUUGCAGCAAAUCAAAGUGCAACAAAUGGCUUUGCAUCAUGUCUUUGAGGAGCCCUGGGCCUUGUAUGUUAUCUUGAGGGCAGAGUAUAUGCUCCAAUAAAAGAAGGCUUUAUUACCAACUGCAACGGAGCUAAGGAUCCAAACACGUAUCGCCUUGUGAGUUUGUCGUAAACUCCCUUUUAUGGCCCAUCCAGUUUAUGGCUAAUGGAGAUUUACAGUGGGAAGAAGGGGCCGUGUGCUCUAAUUAAUGUGGUUAUUAGGCUGGGAGGGCUCAGCACAGCCAGCCCCAUGCUCGCCCUUCAGCACAGCCCUGCAGAGCACACAGACAGUGUCUGUCCCCACAUGAGGACUCACCGUAUGGAUGGGGAGCUGAGGUCAAUUCUGUGGGCUGCCAGAGGUGCUGAGCACAGCAUGUGGCAGUGGAGGCUGUGCAGAAAAUAUCCCAUCCCUCCUGCUUGGGUGGUGCUUCUGUCAAUUAGAAGUCAUUGCUCCUCAUCCGUCUUUGGGCUCUAGAUGAGUUCUGACCCCGGUUCCAUCCCCACCAUCACUGCGGACCUGGGAUGUGGCCCUGUUAAUAUCAGCCUGACUUCCAUCACAUGUAGCUGUGCUGGAAUGAAGCUACAAAUGAGGCAGAUUUCAUGUGGUUGCAGCUCCUCUCUGGGAAUGCUUCAUGCCGCUUUGCUCAGCAAUUAAAAGCAAGGAGCUGGGGUGAGAACAGUCCUGCUAAUGAUUUGCAGUCCACUCCCUUGAGCUAAGCUGUCUUUGCAGAGCCAAAAUUAUAUCAUAUCAGUCUCCAGAAGCUACCACAGAAGUUAAACAUUAAGUGGCUUAUGUUGCUGGAAACUUCCGUUGGCUUCAGCUUGAUCACAGGUCAAGGAUGCCGUCAUCGAGAGCAGCCUUGAUCUCCAGCAGCCGCCAUGGAAAUGGCCAAGCCCAGAGGGACUGAAAUACAGCAGGGCCAUAAAUCUAGCCCUGUGGGGCAGCCCUGUGCUCCCAACCUCACAGAAGAGUGAGAAUGCUGCUGCAGGAGCCCACAAACCCAGGAGGGGCUUUGGGAGCUGCAUCAGGUGGAAGGGUGCAUCCAACUCACGAUGCUGGAGAGCAAUGCGCUGAUUUCCCACAUCUCACCCAGCCCUGAGAGCAGAGCCAGCUGAAAUCCUGAGUGCUGAGAGGAUGGUUUUGCCCUGAUUUCACUCUAGGAAUUUCCUGCAAAGCAAAAAAGGCGCAGGCUGAGAGCUGCAAGGAUUCUGGGGGCAAAUAUCCAGGAAUUGGGCACCCCUUUGAGGCACGGCGAGGUCUGCAAUGGGGAAGGAGAAAAAGAUUCAGGGCCCUUCUCACCACUAUUAUUAAUAUUCAAAUUAAUUAACUGUGCUGAGGGCUGGAGGAAAUUGAAUGUGGAGAACAACCUAAGCUCUGCUUUAGAUUUUAAGCCAUUCAGGGCUUUGAUGUAAAGCUUGUGCUUUUAUUAUUAUUAUUUUUAAAUCUCUUGAUUUUUAUAUAUAUAUUUUUUUUUAUGCAAACACCUGGCCUGCUUUAGAGGCGAUAUAACAGUAAUAAAUGAUCCUUAUUAAUUGGCCGUUGGCUGAUGGGGAGCAGCAGGCUCCCAGCAAAACAGGGCGCAUUCAUGGGGGUUAUGGAGCCAGGUCUGGGGAGAGGAUAAUGGGGCUGAAUCCCCCCCAGCAUCCCAGUAUGGGGCUCCCAGCCAGGUAGGGAGCUUUGGUGAGGUUAAAUAAUAAUAAAAAAAAGCAGCUUUAACGAGGCAGAGCUUAAAUACACGCACUCCCUCUUUACCCAUUUAUUAAGUAAUAAUGAAACACUUUUGUCAAAGCUUAGGCACCAAAUUUCUGACACCAGAUGAGCUCUAAAGCUAAUCAGGGGCUGGAAAAAUGGGAAUAUAAUUAAGGCUGCUGACAGCCCCGUGUCAUUAACCUCACAGCUCUCAGGUGCCAUGCUGAACCACAGCUGCAAAAAAUACUGUAUUACGGGCGGUUGGUUUCAGCUGUGGAAAUGAAUUUGGCUUUUAAUGGCUCUGUAAUGUCUCUAGGGCUGAGGUGGUGGCAGGAGGAGGGUGGUGGUCUGUGCUGGGUCAGCUUGGCUAGAGCUGCUCUGUGCCUUCUCAGUUUCUCGGGUGCAAAACUCAAGCUUUGGACAACAGCAGGAGCAGUCAGUUAUGUUCUCACUCUGUGUGCUUUGGAAGUCCUGCAGCGUGCUGGUGUGACCACAGCCAUAGGAGCGGGGCAGUUCAGGAUAAAUCAAAAACAAAAGUGCCAUUAUCCAUAUGGGACCUCACGAGCGCAUCGCGUCCCCCAGCAAUUCCAAGCACUCUGGGUAUGGUUCUCACUUGGUUUUAACUCAAUUUCUUUGAGAUGCAAAUCAGAGGGAUUAUAUUCAGAGGCUGCAUCAGAAAGUCUUUAAUCCAAAUGGGCUAUAAGAUUUAUUUGGAAGAGCCAAAUGUCUUGUCUGGGACAGAAGCAACCGAGCUGAACUGAAACAGAUGGACAUAAAGGAAAUUAAGCAACUCUAAUGGUCUUAUCCAGAGUUUCAAAGUAUUUGGUCUUCAGAAAGCUCCAGCUCCUGGAAGCACGUGAUGAGAUGGGGAGCUCAAGUUUCAUUUAAAAACAGGCUUUGCAGUUCACUGAGAAAGACAAUAAUAAUGUUUUUAUUCCUCCUGUGUACAGAGGGAAGGCUGCCUUCCAAACCCCAGCUCCUCAGCUCAGCUCAUGACGUCAGAUGGAAGAGUAUUGCACAACGUUUGAAUUCCUCGUCUUCAUCACAGUAUGGUUAUUUCAGUGGGCUGGAUUUGGGAUUUCAGAAGGUGGAUUCUUCCCUGGGUUCUUGGGGUGCCAGGAGGUGAUCGCCCUCAUCUCUGCAAGGGGAAACCAUCUGCAGCCUGAGCAGUGAGCCCUCCUGCUUGCAGCUGCGCCGUGCCCUGCUUGGCUCAGUGCUGAGUACCCAGAGCAGAGAAGCUUCACGUGACUGUGCCUUGGCCAUCCUUCACCCCAGUGCUUUUGGAUUCAGAUUAAGUAAAAGGUGAGAGAAGUGGGGAGGGAAGGAGGGAGCGUGAGAAGGAGCUCAUCCAUUACCAUGCUGCGCACAAGGCGGGAGGUCUUGGCCUUCUGGUUUGAGUGCUUAUUCCCCAUAAAAUACAUCUGAGAGAAAUCAAUACAAGAAGCACGCAAGAACUUAAAUCAAAGCACAAAGAAGCUGCACUUGGUGAAUAGAGCGACCUUGCAGGGAGCUUUCAGAGCCAAGGGCCCAGCCCUGCAGAUGCAAAAGCUGUUGGUAAAAAAUAGCAAGGCUGGCAUGCAGGCUGUCGUGUGCUGCCUUGACACGGACCUCAGGCACAAUGAUAUCUGUAUAGGGAAACAUAUGGAUAAGAGGUGUUGGCCAUAGGCUGGGUGACCAGCGCGGGGAUAAGCUGCCAGUUUUCCCCUAGAACAGCAAGGAGAGCUGAUGUGCUCUGGGACAGCUAUCUCAUUUCAACAGGUUGCACCUGGCUUGGCAAAGCACCGUGUCCUCUAGGCUGUAGCUGUGCCCAUGCAAGACCUCAGCCCAUAGGAACAAGCGUGCGGACCAGAGCAGGCUUUGCAAGCAGCAGGCUGUUUCCAGCAGCAGCCUGUGCAUCCAAGCAGGGCCACCUGAGCGCAGGUGCCGGCUGCUGACCCCACUGCUGGGUCACAGCACCGUGCUGCAGACAUCAUAAAUCUGCAGAGGUUUGCUGCAGUCAGAGCUCCACCUCUGCAGACCGCGGGGCGCAUGUUCCCAUGCUGGGAAAUCUGACCCCAUGGUAGCCUGAGAGACAGGAGAAGCCUGGGUUUGGUGUUUUGAAUAAGUGGCUUUUUAUCUGAAAUCCCUUUGGGAGCAUGAGCUCAGUAACCAAUGAAAUUAUAUCUGUUGUUUCAAGCAGUGAAGAAAACUUGGCCUGAUGUUUAUUGAGAUUUAUGGCUUCCCCUGAGCUUAAUUGUCUUUGGGAGCCCUGGAUCUUUUUAACGGUUCAGUUAAGUGGUACUAAGAAGGAUGGUAAUGGCUUGAGCAGCCUGCCCCCUUAGCAUAUCUCUUUCUCUCACACAAUUUGCUGAUAUUUGGGAAAUACAGCCAAUGCACUCCCCUCCCGAGGUCACAGUUAUUCACUGGUGUGAAACUUCAAGAGACAAAAUCAGGUGUGAAAAGCUCCCAGGCAGUGCCUCCUUGGUGAGGCGAUAGCUUCAGCCCUUGGGGCCAUGCAGUGGAGAUGGGGAGGACACAUGGGUUCACCUGUCCCCCUGCAGGGCCCUGUGGCCCCUUCUCCUUUUACUGCAGGCUCUUGGGUAUAUGUAGCUUCAUUUGCUUGCUGUUGUUUCCUCCCUGCAGGGGAUGCUUGGUGGUUGGGGCAUCGGCGUCCAUCUAUGCACCAGCCCUUGUGAUGCAGGGCUUGGGAAGGAGCUCCUCCCAUUGGUCUGAACUGGGGAAGGCCCAGCUCCCACCUUGCGCUGUGUCCCAGUCGCUGGUUGACCAUCCUCAGACCCAGCGCUGUCACCAGGAGCAGAGCAUCGCCCUUCACACACCAUUAUUCCUCACCCCCAGAGCCUUUUCAUCUCUUAUCAGCUGUGACCCUCAGGCUCCCUUAUCUCCCCCCAGCCAUCCACCCAAGCUGUAGAGCUGUCAACAUGGGGAAUGACCUUCACCUCCUCGCUCACCUCCAGGAGAUGCUGUGUCCACUCGGCCGGGCGCAUGGUUGGCUGCAGCAGCACUGCCUGCUGCCCGGAGCCAGGUAAUUACAGCACCCGUUAUGGUUCAGCGGGCACCUUCAUUAAUAAACCUCGAGUUUCCGAGGUGCCUAACUCAGCCAUUGGAAACCACAUCUGGCUGUAACUCUACGGCGUGUCUAAGCUUUCAGCUCAUCUCCGACUGCUUAAGCGGUUUACAGGACGGGCUGUAAACAAAGUCUGUUUUGUUGGGGUUUUGCGUGCUUUGAGGAAAAGAAAGCAAAUGCGUCCGCUGGGCUCAUCUCCUCGGUGCAGAGCUGGAGGCUGACAGCUCCUUCUCAUGUUAUUUUUUGCUUCUGAGCUAGCCCAAAUAAUGAACAUAUGGGGUCCUCCCAUGCAUGCGUAGCUCUGGUGCUUGGUGCUGGGCAGCGUCCUUGCUCUGGCACAAGGCGGGCAGCCAUCAAUGGGAAGGAUGCAGUUAAAUUCCAUAGAGAUGUAAGGAGCAGAGAUGGGUAAGGAGAUGAGUCCGGCAUCAAAGGGAGCGGGCAGGCAAUAUGCACCCUCUAGUAACCCACCAGAGCUCAAAGGCAAGUAAGUGCACAUCUGUGCAGGGGAGCUCUGGGGUGUGCAGCUGGGAGGGAGGAAUGGGCUGCUGGGGGUCUGCGCUGCUGGGCUGGGCUGUGUCCCCAGCUCAGAUCCCUCCCCUGGCUGUGGGACAGGGGCUUGUGGUAUUUGAGAAGCAGGAUUCUGGAGCUGGGGACAUGCAGACUGUUGGGUACCAUCCUGCUGAAGAGAAAGGGCACCAGUGUGCCUGCAGCCCUUUUUGCUAGAGCCAGGUGCUGGGGAUGCAUUGGGCUUGGACACCUUUGGGGCCAAUGCUCACCAUGACACUGGGCAUUGGCUGCCAACCUGAAAGUGAGGAGAGCUCUGUAGGAAAGGCUGAAAUUUCUGCUCUGCAUCCCUGUCACAGAGCAGGUGGGGACCACCUGUGUAUUUCCCAGGUGCUGAAGAGGAGGUGGCAGCGUUGGCUGUGGGUUGUUGCUGAACUCGCUCAUGGAUUGCUAAUGAUGUUUGUGAAAGCCCUGAAUGAAGACCACACACGGGAGGCUCAGGCGA